rnacentral:tRNA from 1 species
GGGAAUGUAGCUCAGUGGUAGAGAACUUGCCUAGCGUGCAUGAAGCUCUGUGUUCAAUCCACAGUACCA